GAAGAGCCUAAUAUUGCUGAAGCAGUCAAAAUGGCUUCCAGCAUGGAAGGGACACUGGACACACCUUUUUGACUAGCUGCCUAGAUCACAUCUCCUCCCUAGUCAUGCUAGCAAACUCAACUCACAGGUGGAGAUAUUGAGCAGAAUGCAGUGUGAAGAGAGGGAUCCAGACUCCUUAACACUGUGAGCGAAGGAACCCCGGAAGGCACUGAUCCAAGGCUACAAGGAACCUAGACUGGGGUCUUCUGCUUCCCAGUAUGAUGGUGUCAUGCUUCCCAAUGUGGCUCCUGAAGUAUAAGAUACAUUAGCUCUCAUAAUUAGAAGCACUUGGAAGAUGCAUGAAGAAUAAAGAAUAGCUAUCAGAAAGGUGGGGAUCCCCAGCCCUUGAAAAAUAUUCCAUAAAAAACAAG